rnacentral:piRNA from 1 species
UGAACGCCUCGUGGAAGCCGUUGAGCUGUC